AGCACUGAGAAACUACACAGUCUUUGUUCAAUGGGCAUCCUUUCUAAUCUCUGCCAGUGUGCUGGCAACUUCUGCUGCUUACAGAGGCUGAGUUGUCAGAAUCAGGGAGCUCUCUCCAUGCCAGGCCUCUGGUGUGGGCUCACCAGAGGUUAAGGAGUUUGUCCGAGGAUACAUGGCCAGUAAAUAUCUGAAGUGGGAAACAAACCCUGGUCUUUCUGAAGACAGGUGAAGGCCUCUCACUGCGUUAUACAGUAAGGACCCCAGUUUGGCUUUUGCUGACCGUUUGUGUAAGGUCAAAAUGAUAUCAUCAUGUCAAGGUCAAUGUACAGUGCAUCUGGCUGUGUCUGAUCAUGCCAACAGGAGCUCAGAAGGCUCUACCACAGGGACCUGGGGACAUUUCCUGGCCAGCUCCCUGAAGUCCUAUCAUUUGAAAUGCAGCUUCAAGAAAUGAGGGGUUUGCUAAUUAUAUGGGAGAAUCUAAGAGAGGGGUGUAGGAAGAAUUUAGAUAACAGGAUUUGAAAUCAGAGAAUCUGUCUUAAAUAUUCACGGUGUUUCUUAUACCCACCCAGAGCUGUGUGACAUUGAACAAGUUGAUUCAUCUUUCUGGGCCUAAUUUUCAUCACCUAUAAAAUUAGAGGAGUAGAUAAGAUCAGUGAUUCAGUGAGUCCAUGGACUUUAAAACAAACAAAGAAAUAAAUGUGUGUGUGUGUGUGUGUG